CAUUUGCAGAAAAUGCUCUUAUGGAAAGAAAUGCAGCUAGAUUACAGUUUGAUAAAGAAAUGUGAUGGGCGGUGUGAUGCUUUUUCUCGUACUCUGUCCUUGUUUAAUUGCUCCCCCUUUUCCGCAUUUUCUCUUCACAGCUGAGGCGCGAGGAGCACGUUGGCAUGUGUCAGCUCAGCGCCUGGGGUGGGAGCCAGUCUAAUCAUACACUGACAGGUCGGGCACUGCAGGGUCACUCCGAGGUUUCACACCGUGCAUCUUAUCAGUGACUGUGAACACUAAAGCUCGGUUGGACUUCUUUAAUGUCCCCCCCACCUCUGCUCCCCAGCACACAUACACACACCGCGCACCAGAAAGAAGGCAAGACUCCAAUUACCUUCUGCUUGUGAUCUCACUCACGGGUGCGCUUUUACAAUGCUCAUCACAGACUGCCUUUGUCCGUCUGGCUGCAUGCACACAGAGAUGAUUUUGGCUUAAAUUGGAUGUUUUGCAUUGCAAAUCUUGUCUUUUUUGCAUUUCAGUCUUUUUGUCUUUGUUAGUAAGGUAACACCUAAUGAGAACCGUCAAUUAUUUAAAUGCAAUAUGCAUAAAGUAACACCCUAUUUAUGGUUAGGAUUAUAUUGAGUGAAUCUGAAGUUUUAUAGAAGUGGCUGAGGUGUGAUAGAGAUGCAGUCUUUGUCUGCCUGCUGUUACUUUGCUGAGAGUUCACCAGUGCAUACGGAUAGCAGGAUUCCUGGCAUAUGGACUGUGGUACCUCAAGUGUUUGCCAAGAGGUGAGCAGGUAUCGACACUGUGCUGUUCUGUUACAAUCCUGUACUAUGUCUUUACUUCACAUGCCCUCUUUGCAUCAAGGAGUUAACAUCUGUUGUACUGAAUGAAAAUAUACCUAGCCAGGGAAGACAGAACAAUCACGUCAGCUGGUGCCAGGAAAUAUAAUGAAUCAGAAAAUGCAAUUUCUCCAAAGGAGCCAUAAAAAAUCCUUAAGAAUUGUAAACUGGCAGCACAUUCCAGUAGUCGAUUAGCAUCUUUCAUUAUCAUCAAAGUCAACAGAUGUAUUCAGGCAGGGAGACAGACGUUCUAUCUGUAAUUUCAAAUGCAUUAUAUGGCAAAAUUAUGUGUUCUUAAUUAAUUGCUUUUGCCAAGAACAAAACUUAGGGGGGUAAAAACAAAUGAUUAGAAACAAAAGAUUAUCAAAAUUAAAUUUGUAAUUUCAGGUGUGAGGUCACAGAACAAAUUAAAACAAUAUGUGUUCAAUAAAAUGCAAUGCUGGGAGAAUGGAGAAAAACAUAAUAUCAACUAGUGACGUAAAUAUAGAAAAGGAAAUGCUAGGCUGCUGUCGUGCAGCUCUUCCAUUUUACAUCUUUUCUGUAACACGCAGGGAUGUGAAUUUCACCGAGAAAUUCCUACCGCUCUAAUAGUCAAGAUCACAGUUAAUUAAGAAUUAGUGUUUACAGUUAUUGCUCCAUAGACUCCCUGGUCUACCUUUCUUUACUGUGAUCAUUGAGCAUGGGUUCAAUGUGGGCCUUUAACUCCCUCCUUGAUGAAGCAAGAAUUCCCCAUCUACUAAGAAAGGUGGCAACUCAGACUGAUUCUCCUCUGUGUCAUACUCACUGUGGUGAUGUAUUCUGACCCUAUAGAUUUUAUAAUAAAGAUCAGUUUGCCUUA